AUUGAACGCUGGCGGCAGGCCUAACACAUGCAAGUCGAACGAGCGGCGGACGGGUGAGUAAUGUCUGGGGAACUGCCUGAUGGAGGGGGAUAACUACUGGAAACGGUAGCUAAUACCGCAUACCCUCAGAUUAACCCAUAUGGGAUUAGCUUGUAGGUGGGGUAACGGCUCACCUAGGCGACGCUCCCUAGCUGGUCUGAGAGGAAGACCAGCCACACUGGGACUGAGACACGGCCCAGACUCCUACGGGAGGCAGCAGUGGGGAAUAUUGCACAAUGGGCGCAAGCCGGACGCAGCCAUGCCGCGUGUAUGAAGAAGGCCUUCGGGUUGUAAAGUACGUUCAGUCGGGAGGCGUUACCGACAGAAGAAGCACCGGCUAACUCCGUGCCAGCAGCCGCGGUAAUUC
rnacentral:rRNA from 1 species